ACCGUAGCGCAAUGGGUAGCGUUUGGACUUCUGCUCAAAAGAUUGUGGGUUCGAGUCCCAUCUGGAAUA